UAGCAACUUUCAGCAGUGGAUGUCUAGGCUCGCACAUCGAUGAAGAACGCUGCGAACUGCGAUACGUAAUGCGAAUUGCAAGAUUCAGUGAGUCAUCGAAAUUUUGAACGCAUAUUGCACUUCCGGGCUAGUCUUGGA
rnacentral:rRNA from 1 species